rnacentral:misc_RNA from 1 species
CGCUCACUCGUUGAGCCUCUGCCUUUCGGUUCUCUUGGAACAAGACGGAAGAGAGUCACUCUUACCGUCGUGCAUACCUUAAGCGGGUCUGCCGCCUUCGUUUCUCUUUCUUCGCGAAUGACUUUGACUUGCGCUCGCGCGCCGCAUCGCACCCUUUGGGUGCUGGCGCUCCGCGAGGGCGCGGCAGCAAGCCGCGAUGGUCUGGCCGCGACGGCCGGUUGGCCUUGCGAGACUUGCGUCUCGUUGGCGAAAGCCGAUUCACGGCGCAGUCUUAGGGCUUGUAGCUCAGUUGGUUAGAGCGCGCGCUUGAUAAGCGUGAGGUCGGAGGUUCAAGUCCUCCCAGGCCCACCACUUCGCAAUCCGCAAGGAUUGUCGGAUCUUCGCAAUCCGCACGGAUUGUUGAUCUCCUCGACACUUCGAAGAGGUGUUUAUCAGGGGCCGUAGCUCAGCUGGGAGAGCGCCUGCUUUGCAAGCAGGAUGUCGUCGGUUCGAUCCCGUCCGGCUCCACCAUUACCUUGGUGUUGAGUAGAGAUGUGAAACCGGCCGAGAAAAAGUCAUUCGUAAAAGAGUUUGCGGCGAGCUUCUUGGCUCUCCGCCUGUUCUGUAUGACAUCGUAAAGAGAAGAUUUGUUCGAACUUCAUAGCCCGCAAGGGGUGUGAUUUGUCGCGGGAGACGCUCAAUCUCCCGCAUAUGAUGGGCUUGCCUAACCGCACCCUCGAACCGAUCUCGAGAAGCUGGUCUUUUUGUGCCAAUUCCAUUGAAGCAGAUCCUGCACAGGAUCUGGUUCGAGCGACGAUCCCUUUGGGAUCGCGUGAUGGGUAUUGGCAAUGAGAACGAUCAAGUGUCUUAAGGGCAAUUGGUGGAUGCCUUGGCAUGCACAGGCGAUGAAGGACGUGAUACGCUGCGAUAAGCUACGGGGAGGUGCGAAU